rnacentral:rRNA from 1 species
UACGUAGGCAGCGAGCGUUGUUCGGAGUUACUGGGCGUAAAGCGCACGUAGGCGGAUUUGUUAGUCAGGGGUGAAAUCCCGGGGCUCAACCUCGGAACUGCCUUUGAUACUGCAAAUCUCGAGUCCGAUAGAGGUGGGUGGAAUUCCUAGUGUAGAGGUGAAAUUCGUAGAUAUUAGGAAGAACACCGGUGGCGAAGGCGGCCCACUGGAUCGGUACUGACGCUGAGGUGCGAAAGCGUGGGGAGCAAACAGG